rnacentral:rRNA from 1 species
GACGAACGCUGGCGGCGUGCUUAACACAUGCAAGUCGAGCGGUAAGGCCCGUUUCGGGGUACGACGAGCGGCGAACGGGUGAGUAACACGUGGGUGACCUCGCCCUCAGCUCUGGGAUAAGCCGUCGGGAAACCGGGUCUAAUACCGGAUAUGACUCCAUGACGCAUGUUGUGGGGUGGAAAGCCUUGUGCGGCUGAGGAUGGGCCCGCGGCCUAUCAGCUUGUUGGUGGGGUGAUGGCCUACCAAGGCGACGACGGGUAGCCGCCUGAGAGGCGACCGGCCACACUGGGACUGAGACACGGCCCAGACU